ACGCUGAACGCUAGACGGCGUGCCUUAAGCAUGCAAGUCGAACGAGUCGCAAGACUAGUGGCGGACGGGUGAGUAAUGCGUAGGAAUCUACCCUAAAGUGGGGAAUAAGCUGCCGAAAGGUGGUCUAAUACCGCAUGUGACCGCAAGGUCAAAGCCUUUAACUGGGCGCUUUAGGAUGAGCUUACGUCCCAUCAGCUUGUUGGUAGGGUAAAAGCCUACCAAGGCUAUGACGGGUAGCUGGGCUGAGAGGUCGGCCAGCCACAAUGGCACUGAGACACGGGCCAUACAUCUACGGAUGGCAGCAACUGGGAAUCUUUGGCAAUGGACGAAAGUCUGACCAAGCAACGCCGCGUGAAGGACGAAGGCCUUCGGGUUGUAAACUUCUUUUGCCAAGUCGUCGAGGCUUGGAGAAUAAGCACCUGCUAACUACGUGCCAGCAGCCGCGGUGAUACGUAGGGUGCAAGCGUUACCCGGAUUUAUUGGGCGUAAAGCGUGCGCAGGCGGUAGGAUAAGUCACUAUUGAAAUUCCAGGGCUCAACCCUGGACCUGGUGGUGAUACUAUCCAACUAGAUUAUUUGAGGGGGUACCAGAACAGUUGGUGGAGCAGUGAAAUGCGUUGAGAUCAACUGGAAUACCAAAGGCGAAGGCAGGUACCUGGCAAAUCAAUGACGCUGUUGCACGAAAGCGUGGGGAGCAAAACGGAUUAGAUACCCGUGUAGUCCACGCUGUAAACGAUGGACACUAGAUAUCAGGCUGGUUGACGGCUUGGUGUCGUAAGCUAACGCGUUAAGUGUCCCGCCUGGCGAGUACGGUCGCAAGACUAAAAGUUAAAGGAAUUGACGGGGACCCGCACAAGUAGGGGAACGUGUGGUUUAAUUCGAGACAAAACGAAAAACCUCACCAGGGUUUGAAAUGUAUGUUUUAGGAUCCCGAAAGGGAAACAAACCGCAAGGUAGCAUACACAGGUGCUGCAUGGCUGUCGUCAGCUCGUGUCGUGAGAUGUCGCCUUAAGUGGCUCAACGAGCGCAACCCUCAUCAUUAGUUGUAUCACUCUAGUGAAACUGCCCCCGAUAAAGGGCCUUUCCGGCCAGACCGGAAGGACUUUUUAUCGGGGGAGGAAGGCGAGGACGACGUCAAGUCAUCAUAGCCCUUAUGUCCUGGGCUACACACACGUUACAAUGCGCAACACAACGGGCUGCAAAGUCGCGAGGCCUAGCUAAUCUCUUAAAGUUGCGCUCAGUUCAGAUUGGAGUCUGAAAUUCGACUCCAUGAAGAUGGACUUACUAG
rnacentral:rRNA from 1 species